UGCAAAUAAUACCCAAAUUUAGACUUGCAUUAGCCAUUAAGAUGAUUUAUUUGGUAAAAUCAAAUUCCAUAUUCUACUCCCUCAAAUCACACGCUAUAUUUUUUCAAAUCUCCCAACCCUAAUCUGCUCUUUUUCUACCGCCACUCCUCCAUAGUAUUUCAUUCACGAAUCAAGUUCUACUCCUGCAAGAAUUUAUAAGAACAAGGCUGUCCUUCUUCCUAUCUCAUCGAAACAGAUUCAAGAAACUGAGAACUAAAGAGGGGAAGUUCCUGUUUGUUCCUUCAGUUGCAAAUCUGCUAAUCUAAGGUUGAGCGGCAACGAGCUUUUGGUGGUGUUGAGUUGAACCUUAAACAUUGUUGGAUUCAUUUUGAACUUCGAGGGGCGUCGUGUCUUCAUACAUGGCGUCACUCUUACUCUUUGUUGCUUGCGCUUAAUUAUGACACUUUUUCAACCCAUUUUCCCUCUUGGAUUACAAAUUAUGAUAAUUGUUGACUUUGGAUUCAAAACCUAAGCAUUUACUCUGAUUUCCCUCGUUA